rnacentral:rRNA from 1 species
UACAGAGGGUGCGAGCGUUAAUCGGAAUUACUGGGCGUAAAGCGCGCGUAGGCGGCUUUGCAAGUCGGGUGUGAAAUCCCCAGGCUUAACCUGGGAACUGCAUUCGAGACUGCAUUGCUAGAGUAUGGGAGAGGGAAGUGGAAUUCCGGUGUAGCGGUGAAAUGCGUAGAUAACGGAAGGAACAUCAGUGGCGAAAGCGACUUCCUGGACCAAUACUGACGUCAUG